rnacentral:rRNA from 1 species
GAUGAACGCUGGCGGCGUGCCUAAUACAUGCAAGUCGAACGGAGAUUGUAGCAAUACUUUCUUAGUGGCGAACGGGUGAGUAACGCGUUGGUGACCUGCCCCGAAGAGGGGGAUAACAGCUCGAAAGGGCUGCUAAUACCCCAUGUGGUCUCUGGGAUUAGAUGCCUGGGGACUAAAGGUGUAAAUCACUUCGGGAGGGGCCUGCGUCCCAUCAGCUAGUUGGUAGGGUAACGGCUUACCAAGGCGAUGACGGGUAGGGGACCUGAGAGGGUGACCCCCCACACUGGCACUGAAAACGGGCCAGACACCUACGGGUGGCAG